UACAGAGGGUGCGAGCGUUGUCCGGAAUUACUGGGCGUAAAGGGCACGUAGGCGGCUCGGCAAAUCGGUCGUGGAAUCCCGACGCUUACCGUCGGAACGGCGGCCGAAAAUACCGGGCUCGAGGGCGUGAGGGGUCACUGGAACUCCUGGUGAAGCGGUGAAAUGCGUAGAUAUCAGGAGGAACGCCGGAGGCGAAAGCGAGUGACUGGCGCGUUCCUGACGCUGAGGUGCGAAAGCUAGGGGAGCAAACAGG
rnacentral:rRNA from 1 species